rnacentral:rRNA from 1 species
UACGGAGGGUGCAAACGUUGCUCGGAAUCAUUGGGCGUAAAGCGCGUGUAGGCGGUCCGGUAAGUCCGCUGUGAAAGUCGGGGGCUCAACCCUCGGAUGCCGGUGGAUACUGUCGGGCUUGAGUACGGAAGAGGCGAGUGGAAUUCCUGGUGUAGCGGUGAAAUGCGUAGAUAUCAGGAGGAACACCUGUGGCGAAAGCGGCUCACUGGACCACAACUGACGCUGAGGCGCGAAAGCUAGGGGAGCAAACAGG